GCAGGCUGAAAUUACGCCUGUAUGAAGCCGGAAUUGCUAGUAAUGGCAGGUCAGCAUACUGCCGUGAAUACGUUCCCGGGCCCUUGUACACACCGCCCGUCACACCAUGAGAGUUGGGGAUACCCAAAGCCCGUGAGCCAACUAUAAAGAGGCAGCGGUCUAAGGUAGAAUCAAUGAUUGGGGUGAAGUCGUAACAAGGUAAC
rnacentral:rRNA from 1 species